AUGUGAGAUAAGGAGCGCGGGAGCAUUGGUAAUGUAGUUCCCAGGUACCUACGCCCCCUUUUGACCCAAACCGCUAGCCAAACUGCAAACGACUACAUUUCCCGACCAAUCAUGCAUAUAUCCAGGAAGUCAGAUCCCGCAAGCUGGUUGCUUCGUCGUUGCCAAGUUGCCAACAUAAAACAGAAUGGCAAAUGGGUUCUUUAGAUGUUUUGAAUGCAAUAAGGACGCUCACGAGCUUCGCAAAGAUUACAGUAAUGGAAUCUUGAAGAUAACAAUAUGUGUAAAUUCAUUAACACUUCCAUUGUUUAACACCUCCCAAAUUUGAACUGCAAAUGGAUUAACAACACCCCUCCCAAUUUGCCAGGAAUCCUUCCAAAGGCCUGUGGACAAGUACAUUGAAUAUGAUCAGUCAUUAUUCUGAUUGGUGCCAUUUUAUGCUAAACUCAAGCCUUCACACACAUUCUGUUCAACAUUACAUUGAACAUUCACUAGAAGCUGUGUGUGGUUUGCCUGCUGUGUGAGUCCUACCUGAGGUGGUCACAAAUUCAGGGAUCUGAACAGAACAAUGACCCUGCAGACAUCAUUAGAUACACCAACGAAUGGGAAUGUUUGGAAUGGCAGCUCUUGGUGUAUUGCUCAUGGAAAAAGCACAUUAUUACUAUAACAACUCAUGCACUCAUCAACAAACAUGCAUAUGACAAUGUUAAUAUCAAUGUUAUAACAAUGUUUCCAAGUGUUGUUGAAGUGACAAAUUCUGCUUUCUUUUCACAAUGAUUCCAUACAAAUGACAGUCUUCUGCUGGUUGGUACUGAUUUCAUGUUUAUUUGUCCACAGAAUUGGGUGCGUUCUCUGUCGGAGUGCUGUCCUUCCUUUAGCUGGUUUAGAUGCUGCUUGGCUAUGACUUUGAACUGAGCUUAAUGCUGAAAGCCAUCCUGCUGUCCAGCUAUGGCAACAUUCUGCUCAUCCCGAUACUCAUAUGGGAGCAUGACUAUUCCCCGCUCUGUUUCAGCUUCAUCAAGCUGUUUGUGCUCACGUACCUCUGAUGCCCUGAGAGUUAGACAUUAGCCAACUCCUCCCUCAGUGUACAAAUGCUCCCAUUAGUCACUCGCAUUUAGCGCCAUCUCUGUUCCUGUCAAUUCAGCGAAUGAAUUGGAGUGAAAAUGGAUUGAAAAGUUCUCAUAACUCAUUAUUGAUACUAGUAAAUAACCUACUUCACACAUCGAGCCCCAUAUCUAUCUACUUUUCACAUCAGUCAUGUUUUAUUCAAUUAGAAACCAUCAGCUCACAGGGUAAUGAUUGGUAGCAGGAGCAUUGAUGUGCACCAGCAGAUGGCAGCUCUUACUCCUAGCUUGAAAAUCAAUGUUCGAACAUGAAUUCUGUUAUUCCCUAGAGUUACUAAAUAGUUAUAAAUAGUCCCAAAAUUGUCCAAAACGAAUCCAUUCAUUCACUAAAACUGCAUUACCAUUAUGCUUUAUGUUUUUUUUCACCCAACAAUCAGGCCCACAAAGCAAGCACUAGUCUCUUUGUGGCCCUGUGUUUUUUCACAAUACACAGGGUAAUGGCCCUUGUUGUGCUGCUGGUCCAGUUUUUGCAUUUCUGCCUGCGGCUAUGGAACCCUGACCUCUUCAACAGUUGUGCUACCUUGUCCCAGAACUGCGGUUUCCACCCCCCUCUACUGCACAUACUGUCUCAACCUCUAAAUGCUCGGCUAUGGAAAGCCAACUGACAUUUACUCAUGAGGUGCUGAUCUGUUGCAUCCUCUAUAACCGACAUGAUUAUUAUUUGACCCUGUUGGUCAUCUAUGAAUGUUUGAACAUCUUGAAGAACGAUCUGGCUUUAAUGGCCGUGUACUAUAUUCUCCACCCGGCACAGCCAGAAGAGGACUUGCCACCCCUCAGAGCCUGGUUCCUCUCAAGGUUUUUUCCUAGGUUCCUGCCUUUCUAGUGAGUUUUUCCUAGCCGCUGUGCUUCUACAUCUGCAUUGUUUGCUCUUUGGGUUUUAGGCUGGGUUUCUGUUUAAGCACGUUGCGACAACUGCUGAUAUAAAUAGGGCUUUAUGAAUACAUGUGAUUGAUAUUGGAUUUCUGUAGAAUUCAUAGUUUAUUGUACUGAUGGCAGUAUUUCUCAAUUCUACAGCAAGUAGGAGAUUAAUAUGAUGUAAAGUUGUUAAAAACAAGUACUUUUCCUGCAUAUUGUCAUGUUUGUGUUCUGAUCAUUUCCUCUCUUCUCCAGUCAUUCUAUACUGCAGCAGAAGGCUCUCCCUGCUGGCUGUGUGUGUGGGUCUGCUAUUGGAGACGUGCAUAGCCCAGGCAUUUCAGACACUUCCAUGGAGCAUACAGGACAUCCUGCCGUUCCAGUGACCUGUUUCAGGCCGGUCCUAAAGAACACACUGUUACAAUGGCGCCUAUUAUACCCGGGACCAGAGAGCGGUGAGGGGAAACUAUCAGUGCUGUGUGGAGUGUGCCUAGUCAUAUAGUCAAACCCUGACAAAAACCUCUCUGUUGGUAUUGGAGUUAAUAAGGAUACUGGGCAUUCCUGAGGCUAUUUGUGAAAUACCUACCAC